CCUGCCUCACUCACAAGGGCCGCUUAAGCACAGCUGCAGCCUGGUCAGUGUCCAGCUUGUACUCUGGGCUCCUGCAGGGCCCUGAUCCUGCACACCAUUGGCUGGCACUUGAGGGCAGAUGGAGACUUAAUAUGCGAAGGUAACUGUGUCUCUGGAUUAUGUUGGGUUUCAUGGUGCUUGGCAGAGAGUCUGGCUCGUAGACUCGUUGGCUGGAGGUGUGUACAGUUACUCCAGGUUAGGUAGGUACUGAGUAGGUACUGAGAGGGAAGAUCCAGGCAUGAUGAGAACUGAUAAUUCCUGAACAGGAGCCCAGGCGUACACAAAACAUAACCCCUCAGUUAAGGCAGCAUUGGUUUUCCU
rnacentral:lncRNA from 1 species